UACGUAGGGGGCAAGCGUUGUCCGGAAUCAUUGGGCGUAAAGCGCGUGUAGGCGGUUCGGUAAGUCGGCUGUGAAAGUCCAGGGCUCAACCCUGGGAUGCCGGUCGAUACUGCCGGACUAGAGUUCGGAAGAGGCGAGUGGAAUUCCCGGUGUAGCGGUGAAAUGCGCAGAUAUCGGGAGGAACACCAAUGGCGAAGGCAGCUCGCUGGGACGUUACUGAC
rnacentral:rRNA from 1 species